AGCUAGUUGGUGAGGUAAUGGCUCACCAAGGCGUCGACGGGUAGCCGGCCUGAGAGGGUGACCGGCCACACUGGGACUGAGACACGGCCCAGACUCCUACGGGAGGCAGCAGUGGGGAAUAUUGCACAAUGGGCGCAAGCCUGAUGCAGCAACGCCGCGUGAGGGACGACGGCCUUCGGGUUGUAAACCUCUUUUAGCAGGGAAGAAGCGAAAGUGACGGUACCUGCAGAAAAAGCACCGGCUAACUACGUGCCAGCAGCCGCGGUAAUACGUAGGGUGCAAGCGUUAUCCGGAAUUAUUGGGCGUAAAGAGCUCGUAGGCGGUUUGUCGCGUCUGCUGUGAAAACUGGGGGCUCAACCCCCAGCCUGCAGUGGGUACGGGCAGACUAGAGUGCGGUAGGGGAGAUUGGAAUUCCUGGUGUAGCGGUGGAAUGCGCAGAUAUCAGGAGGAACACCGAUGGCGAAGGCAGAUCUCUGGGCCGUAACUGACGCUGAGGAGCGAAAGGGUGGGGAGCAAACAGGCUUAGAUACCCUGGUAGUCCACCCCGUAAACGUUGGGAACUAGUUGUGGGGACCAUUCCACGGUUUCCGUGACGCAGCUAACGCAUUAAGUUCCCCGCCUGGGGAGUACGGCCGCAAGGCUAAAACUCAAAGGAAUUGACGGGGACCCGCACAAGCGGCGGAGCAUGCGGAUUAAUUCGAUGCAACGCGAAGAACCUUACCAAGGCUUGACAUAUACGAGAACGGGCUAGAAAUAGUCAACUCUUUGGACACUCGUAAACAGGUGGUGCAUGGUUGUCGUCAGCUCGUGUCGUGAGAUGUUGGGUUAAGUCCCGCAACGAGCGCAACCCUCGUUCUAUGUUGCCAGCACGUAAUGGUGGGAACUCAUGGGAUACUGCCGGGGUCAACUCGGAGGAAGGUGGGGAUGACGUCAAAUCAUCAUGCCCCUUAUGUCUUGGGCUUCACGCAUGCUACAAUGGCCGGUACAAAGGGCUGCAAUACCGUAAGGUGGAGCGAAUCCCAAAAGCCGGUCCCAGUUCGGAUUGAGGUCUGCAACUCGACCUCAUGAAGUCGGAGUCGC
rnacentral:rRNA from 1 species